rnacentral:rRNA from 1 species
GUGGGGAAUAUUGGACAAUGGGCGCAAGCCUGAUCCAGCAAUGCCGCGUGGGUGAAGAAGGUCUUCGGAUCGUAAAGCCCUUUCGACAGGGACGAUGAUGACGGUACCUGUAGAAGAAGCCCCGGCUAACUUCGUGCCAGCAGCCGCGGUAAUACGAAGGGGGCUAGCGUUACUCGGAAUUACUGGGCGUAAAGGGCGCGUAGGCGGCUCUGUUAGUCAGGCGUGAAAUUCCUGGGCUUAACCGGGGGACUGCGCUUGAUACUGCAGGGCUUGAGGCCGAGAGAGGGUGGUGGAAUGCCCAGUGUAGAGGUGAAAUUCGUAGAUAUUGGGAAGAACACCGGUGGCGAAGGCGACCACCUGGCUCGGUUCUGACGCUGAGGCGCGACAGCGUGGGGAGCAAACAGGAUUAGAAACCCGGGUAGUCC